AGCGAACGCUGGCGGCAGGCUUAACACAUGCAAGUCGAGCGAGCGGCAGACGGGUGAGUAACGCGUGGGAACGUACCUUUUGGUUCGGAACACCACAGGGAAACUUGUGCUACUACCGGAUACCGAAAGAUCGGCCCGCGUCUGAUUAGCUAGUUGGUGGGGUAAUGGCCUACCAAGGCGACGAUCCCGAGCUGGUCUGAGAGGAUGACCAGCCACACUGGAACUGAGACACGGUCCAGACUCCUACGGGAGGCAGCAGUGGGGAAUAUUGCACAAUGGGCGCAAGCCUGAUGCAGCCAUGCCGCGUGUAUGAAGAAGGCCUUCGGGUUGUAAAGUACUUUCAGCGGGGAGGCGUUACCCGCAGAAGAAGCACCGGCUAACUCCGUGCCAGCCGCCGCGGUAAUUC
rnacentral:rRNA from 1 species